rnacentral:lncRNA from 1 species
UGCUGCCCAUAAAGUGACACAUGACCCUAUAACCGGCUUCAGGAAAUGAGAGUGGAAACACAGCUUGAAGAGUUGGUCUGCCAUGUACCAUGCUGUCUCUCCCCUUGCCGCCAUGACAACUUGGCACUGUUCCAGUAAUGGCGGCUCCGCCAGCCUGGGUCCCAGAGUGUGGAAGGCAAGCAGCAGAGCCUUCAGGAGAUCUGUGCUAGGAUCAAUCCUUCAAGAUAAGAGAAUUUUAUCGUGGAAGCAGAGCGAGUGGCAUCUCCCCACUGCACCAGAAAGGCUUCUGGAGUUCACGCACUGCCCUUGGCUCCUCCAGUUGCUAUCAAGUUGAUUUACUUCUGCAUGGAGCAUCUUAGGACCUAAGAAUAGCAAUGAUGAAACCCAGAAAGAAAAGGCAGACUCACAGCAUGGAACACACUGUCUGGCUCAACUAAUAUUUGUUGCCUAAAGCAGGCACCAUGAGAAGGAAAAGUAAAUCGCUGCAGCCUGAGAAAAUGUGGUACCCUCAACUGGGUAAAACCAUCGUAGGCAACAUGGCUCAUGGUGCAAGGUUCUUAAAAAGAAGAAACAACAUUGCUUGCUUCAGCAGCACAUAUACUAAAAUUGGAACAAUACAGAGAAGGUUGGCAUGGCCCCUGAGCAAGGAUGACAUGCAAAUUCAUGAAACGUUACAUAGGUUUUUACUAUAGGUAACAAUACAUUAUAUAGUUUCAACUAGCUAGGGGGAGGAUAUUGAAUGUUUCCAAUCCAAAGAAAUGAUCAGUGUUUGAGAGGAUGGAUAUGCUCGCUCAUUACCCUGACCUGAUCACCAUACAUUAAAUGUAUCAAAACAUCACUGUCCACCCAUGAA